UGCAUGAAUAGAUUACUGGGGGAUCGUCUGAACAAGGCCUGCGCUUAAUUGCGCGGCCAGUUCUUGAUUCUCUGCUAUCAGUUUUCUAUUUCUCAUCCUAAACACAAUGGAGUUUUUUCUCUAUGAACUACUUCCCUGGAGAGCUCGUCUCUCCAGUGGACAUAAACACAAACAAUAUUUUGUAUUAUGAAAAACUAUUAUACUAUAAAAUUUAAUAUUCAAAACUUUCAACAACGGAUCUCUUGGUUCUCGCAUCGAUGAAGAACGCAGCGAAUUGCGAUAUGUAUUGUGAAUUGCAGAUUUUCGUGAAUCAUCAAAUCUUUGAACGCACAUUGCGCCCUCUGGUAUUCCAGGGGGCAUGCCUGUUUGAGCGUCAUUUCUCUCUCAAACCUUUGGGUUUGGUAGUGAGUGAUACUCGUCUCGGGUUAACUUGAAAGUGGCUAGCCGUUGCCAUCUGCGUGAGCAGGGCUGCGUGUCAAGUCUAUGGACUCGACUCUUGCACAUCUACGUCUUAGGUUUGCGCCAAUUCGUGGUAAGCUUGGGUCAUAGAGACUCAUAGGUGUUAUAAAGACUCGCUGGUGUUUGUCUCCUUGAGGCAUACGGCUUUAACCAAAACUCUCAAAGUUUGACCUCAAAUCAGGUAGGAGUCA
rnacentral:rRNA from 1 species